UCCAGUGGAAUUCAUUAGACAGAUUUGGGAAGCUAUCCCAGUGCUUCUCCAAGUGGACACCUAUAGAUUCAGAAAUGGCUCUGAACAUCCUUUGUGAAAUAGAAGAAGCAUUAAUGUCUUCUGUGCACUGGGACCCAACAGUGAGAAAAACUUGGAUUUAAAGUCAAUGCCAGAAGAUCACAAAUUCCAGGAUGCUGAUCCAACACCCAGAUGGGAAGGGAAGAACUAAAGAGGCAGUUGCUGGACAAGGAUGUCACGAGGAAACAGUCUCUAUGCAAUGCUGAAAGCAGAAAGGAGGGACGAUGCUUAAUAUGAUGAUGGCCUGACAGUAGACAUGCUGGAAAAGGCAAAGGAUAAAGUGGUAAAUGUGGCAGGUUGCCAGGCCAAGACCAGUAGAAGGCCUUGUAAUAAAAGCCAAGGCAGCACCAAAGGGCCAUUUUGCAGCUACAAAGGCCUGAAUGAAACAGGAAAU